GUGGGUACACCGCAAACAAGUCUACAACCUAGGACCUGCCGCAGCGCAGAAGUCCUGUGUGUCUGCAGCCUUGCCCUGCUAAGUAGCAAGAAUGUGGCCUCCGUGUGUUACGUCUCUUAGCACCUGCCCAAGCAGCUGGCACACAGUAGGCGCUCAAAAGCUUAAGUGUCAAGAAGCAUGUUAAAUGUGUAAACUGGUUGCUAGGGUUUGGAUGAGCGUCCCCCAAAGCUCCUUGUGCUAAAAGCCUGGUCAGCAGCUUAUGGUGAUUGGGAAUCUUCAGUCACUUCCCUAGCUGUUGAGAACAAAAUACCCAACACCCAGAAUUUAAGGGAGGAGAGGUUUAUUUUGGCUCACCUCAGCCCUGGCUCCAAGGCAGAAAGGCACAGCAGAGGUGAGCUGCGCAAGACCUGGCUCACCGGAAGUGGGGAAUAAAGGGAAGAGCCAGGGAGGAAGCCACACCCUCCCAGGCCACACCCCCAGCGGCCCGUCUCUGCGGACCAGACCCAUCCUAACAGUAAGACAGUUGGAGCCCCCUGAGUUCAGUCACCUUCCAGAAGCCCCACCUCUGAGCGCAUUAGGCUCUUGGGGGCCAGCUAGAUAUGAAUCAUGACAUCAGGUCAUUGCGGAGGUGUUCUUCAGGGGGAGUGUAGGACCCAUGGGGGCCACUUCCGUUCUCUUUCACAUCCUGGCCACCUCAAAGGGAACAGGCUAUUCCUUGCGUGCUCCCUGAUGACGUGCUGCCAGAAGCAUGAACUAGAACCUCGGAAACUCCCUGUGGAGCAGAAGCCCAACUGGGGUAUCCCUGGGGGAAAUGAAGCUACAGAUGCACUCCUUUCUGGCAGCUUCAGGGAGAACCAUCACCUCGCUCACUCAGGCUGCAGGAUGGGUACCCAGUUCUUGGCUGCUAUCAACUCAAGGCCAUUCCCAGCUUCUAGUGAUCACUGUGUUCAUUGGACUGAACCUCCUUCCGCCAGCUUUGAAGACUAAUUCUUAGGAUACCUCUGGCCUCUACUUCCACUGACUCGGACUCUUCUGGCUUUCUCUUCUAUUUUUCAAGGACUAUGUGAUUAAAAACUCAAGAUGAUCUCCUAAUCUCCCUAUCUUAAGACCAUGCCUUUUUUGCCAUGGUAGGUAGCAUUCCGAGACAUUACACGGGAAGCAAAGUCACAGGGCCAGAAUCCUGCCUAUGCAAACACCAGCCUCUGGAUGUCUGGACAUUCUCAUACAUGUGGCAGUUUUUGUGCACUGAGAUAAUGAAGUUUUGUGAAUUGUGCUCUGGAGUAAGUCCAGAUGUGAUUGAUUUGGGAGGUAGUGAGAACAAGUGCAUGUCACAUGCUUCAGUUGGCACUGGCACCUUCCAGCCCCUAGAGACGACAGCCACCUUUCACGCUACCUGGGACAGGUGCGGCCUGUCAACAGAGCGGAGACUCAUAGGUAGAAAAUAAGGCUCAAUUUUAAUCCGGCCAUUUCGGUUGGCAGAGCAGCCAGUGCACAAGGCCCAGAUCACUGAUGAAAUCUCCUCGUGGACCAAUUAGUGUCACAGACAGGAGGUCCUCUGCACCUCGACCACAGUCGACACUGCUAACUCUAAGCAACCAGCUCCCAGGUGGGUUUUUAAUUGCAAGGAGAAAUGAGGGAAACGUUUCCAGGAAGACAAGUCUAUUUAAAAGUCUAUUUAAAUCUGAACUUUUCAGAUUUUAGUUAUGGGAACUAGUACUUCUUCCACAAGUUAUAAUCUCUUGGGUGCUAGUCACAAAUUCAUCACCUAAUUUCCCCUCUUGAUUAAACAUUUUAAAUUUAAUUGCAGAAAAAAGAAAACUGCAAACUAUCUUAAAAUUCCGAAAAAAAGACUCAAAUGCUGCAAACACAGAUUAAAUGGGGGGGGUCUAGACAGCUGGAAAACUGUUUCACUAGCCUCCCCAGUCCCUCGUCUCCCUCAUACUGCUGCCACAAACAUCUUUCCAAGGCACACACAGUCAUUCUUCUUCUUGGAGAGUCCUAAGUAGUUCCUUGCUGCCUACAAAGAAAUCCCAGCCUCUUAGGCUCGCCUCCAUGCCUUUCUCAUUGGCCCCAACCUGCCUUCCCAGCCUCUCCCCAACCUGUGUCUCAAGCCACCACCCAUAGCAGCUUACCCUGGGAACAAGGCCCAAGGCCCCUGAGAUCUCACACCAUUCCCGGAGCACCACCUGCCUGUUCUGUGGGCAGGUGGGCCUUCCCUGUCUUUCUGCACCAACGCAGACCAACUUUUCUUCCCACACCCAGCCUGAGUGUCAGGUCCUCCCAUGCACAGCUGCAUCCUUCUGAGUGCCCUGUAAUAUUCUGGUUCACCUGCUAGACACAGCAUGCUGUGUUUGGGCUGAGAGUCAGGGUCAGAUUCCAUAUACCUGCCUCCUCCUUUCAAACCAGGGACUACAACUCCUUGUAUCUUGCAUCCCUGUCUCACUUCUACCUACUGCAGCCAGAGCCUACCCUGCUGGCUAAAAGGGCUCAAUAAACUGUGGACAACCAAAUUCAGCCCAUCAUGUACAAUACUGGAGACAUACCCUGAAUUUAAGAAAAGCUUUUUUCAGGAUGUGUCUAGUACCUCCAGUUCCACCUGGAAUCACUGAAAUUUCAAUGUAUUUCAGUAAAUUUCAGUAUAUUUCAGAUAUAAACAUGGGCUAACAGGACCUCUAUACCGUUUUCUUCAUAUGCUACUGAAUAUGCAGACAUUGCUUAACUUAGGAUGGGGCGGUAUCCUCAUAAACCCAUUUUAAGUUGAGGAAACUCUUAAGUCAAAAAGGCAUUGAUGAUGCCGACCUAAGCAGUGAACAUCCUGACUCAGCAACGAAGCAGACUGUCAUGUGCAGGGUCGUUGUUUCCUCUGGGAUCAGGGCUGACUGGGAGCUGUGGUUCACUCCUGCCACUGAACACCACCAGGUGAAUAUUACCCUGAACCCAGGAAGGAGCCAAAUUCAAAACUGCGAGUUUGGUUUUCAGUCAGUGUGAAUUGCUCUUGCACCACCCAAAAACCCAAAAAUCAUGAAGUCAAACCAUCCUGAGUCAGGAACCAUGUGUGGAUCCCACACAGAGUAAUUGUUUUAAAAUUUUAACAGAGCUCCACUUCCGGGAAUGGCUAACAAGAUCUCACUGGGCUGACGCUCCCACAGAUUAACUUCUAUAAGCUGUGGUAAAACCAAUUUGUAUAAAAGCACUCCCAGCUAUCUAAAGGCUCUGGAGAUUGACCAUCCAUGACGUCUAGUUUCAGUAGGGGGCCCAGUCUGCACCAUAUGGCCCAGCUGGGUCAGCAGCAGGAGACACUCAGGCUUUCUGCCUGGAAGAAACACCAGACAGAUGCAGGGCAUCCCAGGAAGGAAAUGGACCUCCGAAUGGAGAGACACAGACAGGUGAAGUCCUAGAUGCUGAGUGCCCCUGAAUCGCCUAUUCCCAGAGCAGACAGCAAGAAGCUUUGGGGAACUUUCUGGGUGCCAGUAAUGUCCUGUGCUCUGAAGAAGCUCAAGUUACACAUGUGGAUGCAUCUGUCAAAACAUCAAAUGACACACAAAGAAAGGGUGCAUUUCAUUCUGUAGAAACUUACUUCAAAAAUGUAAAUGUUGAACUUUAAGGUCAUAUAAGAGAAGGUCGUGUGCUAAAGUUUGCAACCUUACUUUGAAAUGCAUCUAAAAACAAAAAUAUGGAUUCCACCAAUGAACAAAGAAUAGAUAUAUGAUUUGAGGGGAAAAAAUAUAUAUAUAUAUAUCAACCUAUUAAUGGUAGAAUCUAAGUGUCAGGUCUAUAUAUAUUGGCUAUAAACUUUUUCCAUUUUUCUGUAAUUUUGAAAUAUUUCACAAUAAAAUAUUGGGGAAACUUAAAAGACGCUUCACAACUUUUGGAAUCUGCUCCCGCCAAAAGGCACAGAAGUAAAUCACAAUAUUUACAGGAGUCGAUGUGAAGGAGAGCCAGGAAUUCAUUGUGGAAUUGUAAACAAAAAGCACUUAGGUAAGAGUUUGGUAAAACAUCCUUGCUGCCCAGUAGGAAAAAGCGUGUACCACAGCUGACCUUAGAGAAUCAUGGAAAUAAAUUCCUCAUCUCCAUGAAAUGUUCUGGUGACAUGUUUUAUUUUUGUAGUGUCAACAGGGCUACCCUGGUAGUGUCUGAGGUUAGUGGUGUUAGUGGCACCUCAGGAGAAGUUUGGAUUCUGAGUUCAGCUUCCUGUGAUCCAGGUCCUAAACCCCAGAAAGGCCUGGAAAAUACAGUGCUGGAUGAGAGGCAGAAUACUCAUAUGCAAGAGAUGAUCAAGCAUUUCAAUCGGCUUAAAGGAGCCGCGGUUGUAGCUCAGUGGUGGAGAGCUUGCUCAGAUAGAUGUGUGUGGCCCUGAGUUCAACACCCACCACCCUCCAAAAAGUAAAUACAUGAAACCAAGAAGGAAAAAAGAAAAACUGGCCUGAAAACAAAGCUUCUAUAUAAACAUAGCAAAGCAAUGUUCAAGCUAUUUGUUCCAGAAAAGAGCAUCUCAAGUUAUUCAACAACGAGAGGAGAGGAUUAAUGCUGUGGUUAGAAUGAAUCCUACAGAUGCGAGAUAAAUGCUUCCAACCAGAGCCGGCCAACUAGAAAGGGAGGCCACGGGUAUUUCAAUAGCCAAGAUCCAUGAACCUUGUCCAUACUGAACAGUAAUCCCACACUCUAUCACUGCACCAAAACAAGCAACACAUCGACUCUAAACUGCUCAUUUGGGGAGGAAUGGCAAAGUGGGUAUAUAUUAUACAGCGAGACUUCCUCUGCCUGUGCAUACAUUUUAAAAGUAUGAAAUACACUAGAAAUGCUGGAGGUAUAGAUCAGCAGCACAUGCUUAACAUGCAAGCAGCCCUGGGUUCAGUCCCCAGCACUGUAAAAAAUAAAACAGACAAGAUUAUCAGUUGAUAGGACUUACAAUGAUGAGUCUGAAAUUGUUUCCAUAUUUCCCUUCCGUUUUACUUCCAUUAAAUAAAAUGCAAAAG
rnacentral:lncRNA from 1 species